GGGCGAUUAGCUCAGCUGGUUAGAGCGCUACGUUCACAUCGUAGAAGUCGGGGGUUCAAAUCCCUCAUCGCCCA
rnacentral:tRNA from 1 species